rnacentral:pre_miRNA from 1 species
UCCUAUGGGUGAGCAAAGAAAGUGGUUUCUUGAGAUGGAAUUUAUACCUUGUGAAGAUGCUGUGAA